UUGUUUAAAUAAUCGGCCUGAAGAGAAGAUGGAGGAAACCUUGAUGUUCCCUUAACUUCUCUUUUUAGUUUAAAAAAAAGUCAACUGUUGCAGCAUUGGAUUCAAGUCUUGUUAAAAUUGAAAGAAGAAGCCGCCAAAGUCAUAGUGGAGGAGAUGGUGAAUGAGAUACUGAAAAGGCUAAAGUGGAGGAACUCGAAUGGCUGGCUGUGUUCAGGUAGGCAAAAACCAGUGACUGAUCAACUGAAAUACACAGAACAAAUGAAUCAGGACAGAUCUGAAAACAAAGGUGGCUUUGAAUAGCAAAGGUUCAGGAAACGUUGCAGUGAGUUGUGGAAAUGGCUGAUGCUUUAACACCGAAAAAGUUAAAACAUCAAUGCAGAAGAA